GAAGUGAUGAGUAAGAUUGAGCUCACCUAGUAAAUGGGUGCUUCAUGACCUCCCACAACUAUCAUAGCGGCCAUUUUCUGAGAGUGCUCCUGUCAUGCUAUCAAAAUUUCAGAUGCAUCUUGAGCCCAAACAGUCUGCCUACCCAUUUAAAACAAUGCUAUGAUGGUCCUGGAAAGCUGCUCUUUCUUUGAAUUUGGAGAAUGGGUCUAAGUUGCUGUAUGGAAGCAAAUUUGGGAUGGGUGACCUUUCAGUGGCUGGGAUCCCAUUUAACAGCUUUUAAGGAGGCCACAGUGGCUGAAAUUCUUCUCCUCCAUAGUCAGUCUGAAGGCUGCUGCCAUGAAUGUCUCGUCCAUUGAGUAAGGCACGCCAUUACUGAACCUAACUUAUAAACCUGAAAUAAUUUGCAGAUCAAAGAAGAAGAAAAAAUAGGGCAACUAGCAGAUUAAGAAUUCUGCAGUUUGCUAAUCAUUCUUGUAUUGCUUAAUUAUAUUCCUAAUCAAAAUUAAUUAUGAUUAAUUAUAUGCUGAAUCAGAAAGAUAGAUUUAGGGAUUACAUAUUUAAAUUGGAGAUGCACACCAAUCACAAGAUUGAGUUGAGACCCAAUUCUGUGAUUUACAAAUCUCUUUUGUCAGUGUUGGUUUUUGUUUGGCUUUAACACAAUGUGAUGGUAAAUCCAUCUGA